GACGAGCUCUUUGAUUAUUAUCGGCGACGCCACGGCGGGGAGCUAUGAUUAGAAUUAGCACAUCCGGGGAACCGAUCCAGAAACGCUUCUAUAGUUUGACUUGAUGAUUGACACACCGUCGUCUACGGCGCAUACCUUCAUACCUUCGCCCUGACAGGUAGUCGACUGUGCUGUGACAAUGUCGGAGGUCUGACGAGACAAGAAGACAACUUUUUCCCAGCGUGCCUCAUGGAACGAUACCAGGAAGACUUAGCUGGUCUGGACCCUGUCUUUCUAGAGGAGGAGGAAUGGGAUCUGUACAACUCCAUCUCGGCUCUGUCCCUGCCCAGUCCCCAACCCCCGCUCCCCUCUCUGGUCCCAGGGCGGAGGCAAUGAGAGCUCCGAUGACCCUACCACCCAGGGGGUGGGUGGAGGGGUCCCCAGCCCAAAUUCCUACCUGAGACCCAGGACCCAGGAGACAGAGGUCCUCCUGAGAGGAGCAGCCCUCCUUCCCUCCUCCAGUACCCCCUCGGAGGAGAACCUCCAGUGCUGCUCUGCUGACUAAUGCUCAGAAGAGGUUCUCCUGUGAUCUGACUGUACCCGCUAUCAGACUGAACCGCUUUAAUACAGCCACAUAUAGUCAUCUGGAUACCUGGAGCAUCAAACUGAUAGACACUCCACAAGGAAGCACCAAACAACUGGCUUCUCUCUGCAUGUUGACGUCCAAGUAAGAAACGCCACAUCCCUUUCAGAUGUUUGAAUAUCAAUCCAAUGAACUGAGUCGUUUUUUUUUUACAUUCAAGAUGAGACACGAACCAUGGAAACGUCUUUGCGUUUGCCACUCUUUCAAAGUUUUCUCCUUGAGAAACGCAGAAAUUAUCCCAUAG